CACAAUACAGUUGAUGAUUUCAAAACUUUUGUAUUACUUAAAGUGAGGGAAGAGGGUUCAUUUCAUGUUGGUGGUAAGUGCGUUGUUUUAGUUGUGAAAAUAGUCCCACAUCGUUUACAUGAAAGAAAUAUUCACUGUUUAUAUUACGCUAGCACACUCCAACUAACGUCCCUUCGGGGACAUCCGAUAAAAUUGGAACGAUACAGAGAAGAUUAGCAUGGCCCCUGCGCAAGGAUGACACGCACAAAUCGAGAAAUGGUCCAAAUUUUUUUUGUCAUUUUUUUCCUUCGAUUUUCCCUCUUCACCCGCGUUUUCCCUUUUGAAGAACCUUAUUCAUCUCCAUUUCCCCCACUUGAUGUCUCAAUUAAUUUAAAUUUCUGUACUUAAUUUUAGGGUUUUUAUUUUUGAAGCUGAAAGUGUAAUAAGUAUCAAAGAUUACAAACAAAACCCUGGAUGGAUUAACGAGAAGAUGAAGCUAAUGCACUUGCAGUGAAGAGAAUCUGCACUGUAAAUAUUUUAUGGUGAGAAAAUUCUGAUACAGGAAACAAGUAAAGGAGAGUAUUUUGCAAUAAAAAAAUUAACAGGGCCAAUUAUUUAAACUUUAUUUAUCAGUGUGAUUUCAUGGCUGCUCACAUUUCUAUGUGUGAUACUGAAUAUCUUUUGACCUUUGCUGCAAAUGUGUUUGACUUUGACAUAAUCAUCUGGCCUAAUAUCAUAUACCAGCACAGUACUGGAUUCACAUUUACUAGCUCGCAGGGCAAAAGCUCUAGCUGGUUUGUCUUCAUUAAGUACUGGUCUUUCCUGUGUUGUGAGUUAUAUCUUCAAUCUUGGGCGAGCUGAACGGGUACCGGCUGCAAUUCCACUGACAUGAGGACAUGUCAUUGAGGUGUCAAACAUGAUAGAGAAGUCAGUCUUCUGGUGUUCUCUGGAAGGCUUAUCGGACCAAGGUUCUGAGGCCAUGCAGCAAUAAUGUUGACUGUGGAGCUAUAAAAUUUGGUUUAAGGAUUGAAUGGUUUGUAAACUUUUCCCUCUAACUGAGAAUCUUGCUAAUGCUGGUGCUAUAGACUUCCCUAUUAUUGUUUCUCCAAAUUCAAUCUGAGAAAGUGGCCGUGUUGUGGAGUUUAUGUAAGAUUUCAAGGGGAUUGAUUCAUCAAAUCCUACUAAUGUUGCAGGCAAGACAUGAACAUCAAUUGAAUCUUCUUCCAAGUUAAGCUCUGUGUUUGCCAAGAUCAUAGCAGUACUACUUGCUUCAUUCACAACUUGACCCUUUUCUGAUCUUCCAUUGACACCUCAAUCGCAUAUGACCGUUUUGCCUUGAAAUUUGACCUUUGGAAGAGAGUAUUGAGGCAAAUUGACUCUCACUAUCUCCACCACUUAGGUAAACCGGCUCAAGUUCUUUGCCAUUGCUUGCUAUAAUGUUUACAAGAUACAUGGAUUCUCCAUAGAGAACUUGUCCAUUAUCCAUGUUCUGAUGAGUGGUAAGAUUGAGAUUUGGUGCUUUGGUAACUAUCUUGGUCGUAUUCAACAACAGAGACCCUGUCGUUCUUUGCUAAAUUGUGUUUGCGGCUUGUUAUUGAUUUGGGGUGGAAAGAAAAUGCUCGCUGCUGUGAGUGAAAUUACCAACAAACUCAAAGCUAAAACAUUCACCAUUGUUGCUUGGGAAUGGGAGUGUCCUGUCAAGUGUGCUGGCACCAAUAGUGGUAUCCAGGAGCCAUUGUUUCCAGACAGAACUUGCACCAAUAGUGGUACCACCAGUAAUGUAUCAGUAAGAGAUGCCUAAUACAUGCUGCUAGUAACAGUAUAUUACAAUAUUGACUGAAUUCUAGCCCAGGAAAUGCUGCAAAAAUUGUGAAAUGGAAAAAGGACGAUCUAAGAAGUUGGAUGAAAGUUACAAACAGCAGAAAGACUUUCCAACAGAUUCACCGAAGAAAUGUUAUGUGAGAAACUGUAAUGUGUGUAUUAUAAUCAAAACUAGGCCAUUAGCUGAUUCAGUGAUAAUUCAUUAGUGAUAAGCUGAUUAAGUACAUCAUUGUCCAGAAAUUGCUACCGUUGAUCAUUAAUGCAGCAUGCCAAAUGUCUUGAAUAUAUUUUGAGCAAUUGAAUAA